rnacentral:rRNA from 1 species
UUAUCGGAGAGUUUGAUCCUGGCUCAGGACGAACGCUGGCGGCGUGCCUAAUACAUGCAAGUCGAGCGGACAGAUGGGAGCUAGCU